rnacentral:rRNA from 1 species
GACGAACGCUGGCGGCGUGCUUAACACAUGCAAGUCGAACGGAAAGGCCCUGCUUUUGUGGGGUGCUCGAGUGGCGAACGGGUGAGUAACACGUGAGUAACCUGCCCUUAACUUUGGGAUAACUUCAGGAAACUGGGGCUAAUACCGGAUAGGAGCUCCUGCUGCAUGGUGGGGGUUGGAAAGUUUCGGCGGUUGGGGAUGGACUCGCGGCUUAUCAGCUUGUUGGUGGGGUAGUGGCUUACCAAGGCUUUGACGGGUAGCCGGCCUGAGAGGGUGGCCGGCCACAUUGGGACUGAGAUACGGCCCAGACUCCUACGGGAGGCAGCAGUGGGGAAUAUUGCACAAUGGGCGGAAGCCUGAUGCAGCAACGCCGCGUGCGGGAUGACGGCCUUCGGGUUGUAAACCGCUUUCGCCUGUGACGAAGCGUGAGUGACGGUAAUGUGUAAAGAAGCACCGGCUAACUAUGUG